rnacentral:rRNA from 1 species
CACGCCGUAAACGAUGAUAACUCGUUGUCGGCGAUACACAGUCGGUGACUAAGCGAAAGCGAUAAGUUAUCCACCUGGGGAGUACGAUCGCAAGGUUGAAACUCAAAGGAAUUGACGGGGGCCCGCACAAGCGGAGGAGCAUGUGGUUUAAUUCGAUGAUACGCGAGGAACCUUACCUAGACUUGAACGUAAGAGUGAUCAUUUAGAAAUAGAUGAGCUAGUAAUAGACUUUUACGAGGUGC